rnacentral:rRNA from 1 species
AGAGUUUGAUCCUGGCUCAGAUUGAACGCUGGCGGAACGCUUUACACAUGCAAGUCGAACGGUAACGCGGAGAGAAGCUUGCUUCUCUCCGGCGACGAGUGGCGAACGGGUGAGUAAUACAUCGGAACGUGUCCGCUCGUGGGGGACAACCAGCCGAAAGGUUGGCUAAUACCGCAUGAGUUCUAAGGAAGAAAGAGGGGGACCCGCAAGGGCCUCUCGCGAGCGGAGCGGCCGAUGACUGAUUAGCCGGUUGGUGAGGUAACGGCUCACCAAAGCAACGAUCAGUAGCUGGUCUGAGAGGACGACCAGCCACACUGGGACUGAGACACGGCCCAGACUCCUACGGGAGGCAGCAGUGGGGAAUUUUGGACAAUGGGCGCAAGCCUGAUCCAGCUAUUCCGCGUGUGGGAUGAAGGCCCUCGGGUUGUAAACCACUUUUGUAGAGAACGAAAAGACACCUUCGAAUAAAGGGUGUUGCUGACGGUACUCUAAGAAUAAGCACCGGCUAACUACGUGCCAGCAGCCGCGGUAAUACGUAGGGUGCGAGCGUUAAUCGGAAUUACUGGGCGUAAAGGGUGCGCAGGCGGUUGAGUAAGACAGAUGUGAAAUCCCCGAGCUUAACUCGGGAAUGGCAUAUGUGACUGCUCGACUAGAGUGUGUCAGAGGGAGGUGGAAUUCCACGUGUAGCAGUGAAAUGCGUAGAUAUGUGGAAGAACACCGAUGGCGAAGGCAGCCUCCUGGGACAUAACUGACGCUCAGGCACGAAAGCGUGGGGAGCAAACAGGAUUAGAUACCCUGGUAGUCCACGCCCUAAACGAUGUUAACUAGUUGUUGGGAAGUAAUAUUCUCAGUAACGCAGCCAACGCGAGAAGUUAACCGCCUGGGAAGUACGGUCGCAAGACUAAAACUCAAAGGAAUUGACGGGGACCCGCACAAGCGGUGGAUGAUGUGGAUUAAUUCGAUGCAACGCGAAAAACCUUACCUACCCUUGACAUGUCAGGAAGCUCUUGUAAUGAGAGCGUGCCCGCAA